AGAGUUUGAUCCUGGCUCAGGAUGAACGCUGGCGGCGUGCCUAAUACAUGCAAGUCGAGCAAACAGAUAAGGAGCUUGCUCCUUUGACGUUAGCGGCGGACGGGUGAGUAACACGUGGGUAACCUACCUAUAAGACUGGAAUAACUCCGGGAAACCGGGGCUAAUGCCGGAUAACAUGUUGAACCGCAUGGUUCUACAGUGAAAGACGGUCUUGCUGUCACUUAUAGAUGGACCCGCGCCGUAUUAGCUAGUUGGUGGGGUAACGACCUACCAAGGCGACGAUACGUAGCCGACCUGAGAGGGUGAUCGGCCACACUGGAACUGAGACACGGUCCAGACUCCUACGGGAGGCAGCAGUAGGGAAUCUUCCGCAAUGGGCGAAAGCCUGACGGAGCAACGCCGCGUGAGUGAUGAAGGUCUUCGGAUCGUAAAGCUCUGUUGUUAGGGAAGAACAAAUGUGUAAGUAACUGUGCACAUCUUGACGGUACCUAACCAGAAAGCCACGGCUAACUACGUGCCAGCAGCCGCGGUAAUACGUAGGUGGCAAGCGUUAUCCGGAAUUAUUGGGCGUAAAGCGCGCGUAGGCGGUUUUUUAAGUCUGAUGUGAAAGCCCACGGCUCAACCGUGGAGGGUCAUUGGAAACUGGAAAACUUGAGUGCAGAAGAGGAAAGUGGAAUUCCAUGUGUAGCGGUGAAAUGCGCAGAGAUAUGGAGGAACACCAGUGGCGAAGGCGGCUUUCUGGUCUGCAACUGACGCUGAUGUGCGAAAGCGUGGGGAUCAAACAGGAUUAGAUACCCUAGUAGUCC
rnacentral:rRNA from 1 species